GUAUACUUAAUAUCUUGCAUUGCCAUUGUGGUAUAAAACUUACACAAGCCUAGCUAUGUCACAUAUGCCUUUAUUAAGAUCCGUGCCUAUAACUAUAUAUACAUCUUACCUGUGCACCUGCUGUUAGGGAAAGAGCAGGAUUAAGAUGGUAGGAAACAUCAGGAUUCCAAGAUAACUCUUGAUGACAAUCCCAUAGGCCUAGUCAUGCAUAGAACAAAAUAAUUAUCAAUUCAUUUAAUUGUAAUUUUAUUUCAUGUUUUUUGUAUAUACUACAAGUUAUACUGAUUUUAGGCAUUGUGUCGUUGUUGAUAUCUUCAUUCACUGAACUCUCAUAGCAACUUAGGGCUUAGCUUGCAUUGCGAUCUGAAGUUCCGUGCAUGGCUCAUCGAUUAAAUGUAUAGAAAGAGCAAAAUGUGUUUUCCAGACUUUGAAGAGUGGAAAUCUUCCCUUUUCUUAACCAAGACCAAGUGUAACUUACUUCAUUGACAUUGUAUCUAUUUUUACGAAAACAGCAUAAUGGACAAUUCCAGCUAUCGACUAACUUUUUAUCUAGACAAGAAAGACGAAAUAU